rnacentral:rRNA from 1 species
GAUGAACGCUGGCGGCGUGCCUAAUACAUGCAAGUCGAGCGAACGGACGAGAAGCUUGCUUCUCUGAUGUUAGCGGCGGACGGGUGAGUAACACGUGGAUAACCUACCUAUAAGACUGGGAUAACUUCGGGAAACCGGAGCUAAUACCGGAUAAUAUUUUGAACCGCAUGGUUCAAAAGUGAAAGACGGUCUUGCUGUCACUUAUAGAUGGAUCCGCGCUGCAUUAGCUAGUUGGUAAGGUAACGGCUUACCAAGGCAACGAUGCAUAGCCGACCUGAGAGGGUGAUCGGCCACACUGGAACUGAGACACGGUCCAGACUCCUACGGGAGGCAGCAGUAGGGAAUCUUCCGCAGUGGGCGAAAGCCUGACGGAGCAACGCCGCGUGAGUGAUGAAGGUCUUCGGAUCGUAAAACUCUGUUAUUAGGGAAGAACAUAUGUGUAAGUAACUGUGCACAUCUGACGGUACCUAAUCAGAAAGCCACGGCUAACUACGUG